GGCCUUGUAGUGGAAAAAAAGAUAUCAGACUGCAAUUCUGAAGAUGCGUUAAAUGCCAAGGCUU
rnacentral:tRNA from 1 species